UAGGGAAUCUUCGACAAUGGGGGGAACCCUGACCGAGCAACGCCGCGUGAGUGAAGAAGGUUUUCGGAUCGUAAAGCUCUGUUGUUAAGGAAGAACGAGUGUGAGAAUGGAAAGUUCAUACUGUGACGGUACUUAACCAGAAAGGGACGGCUAACUACGUGCCAGCAGCCGCGGUAAUACGUAGGUCCCGAGCGUUGUCCGGAUUUAUUGGGCGUAAAGCGAGCGCAGGCGGUUAGAUAAGUCUGAAGUUAAAGGCAGUGGCUCAACCAUUGUAGGCUUUGGAAACUGUUUAACUUGAGUGCAGAAGGGGAGAGUGGAAUUCCAUGUGUAGCGGUGAAAUGCGUAGAUAUAUGGAGGAACACCGGUGGCGAAAGCGGCUCUCUGGUCUGUAACUGACGCUGAGGCUCGAAAGCGUGGGGAGCGAACAGG
rnacentral:rRNA from 1 species